AUUGAACGCUGGCGGCAUGCCUUACACAUGCAAGUCGAACGGCAAGCACGGGGGCAACCCUGGUGGGCGAGUGGCGAACGGGGUGAGUAAUACAUCGGAACGUGCCCGGUAGUGGGGGAUAGCUCGGCGAAAGCCGGAUUAAUACCGCAUACGACCCACGGGUGAAAGCCGGGGGAUCGCAAGACCUUGCGCUAGCGGAGCGGCCGAUGUCAGAUUAGGUUGUUGGUGGGUAAAGGCCUACCAAGCCGACGAUCUGUAGCUGGUCUGGA
rnacentral:rRNA from 1 species